UGUAGAUGGUCGGCGAAGAGGCCGCCAGCAAACGUGACUCUUUCAAAAGCUUUGUUGUGUCGUGCGCUCGGCCUCUGUGGUAAAGCGAAUACGUAACCUGACAGGUCCUCAGAAGACACGUAUCGCGCGGACGAAGUUGUGUUUCCGUGUUAAAAAAUGAGUUCCCUUGUACACGUGUCAUGCACCGCCUCCGUACACAGGUUGUGUCGCACACGAAAAUAAGCUGCAGUUUGUGACGGCUGGGCACUGACAGACACGACGCAGACAAGGACUCUCUCUCUCCACAUCGAGUGCUUUUACCGUGUGUAACUUCAUUUGAUUUCUACAGGGAAAUCAAAACGCGGGGAGAUGUGUCGCAUAAGUCCGCCUCUCGAGUCUCUCGUUUGCGCAUAUUGACCGCCAACAAACAUGGCGCAAAACGCUGCGCGUGACAUUCGUUUGGCUACUGGAAUUGGUCCUUGGAAAUGCGUAUUUGUGUAACAGAGAGGUGCGUCAACCAGUAUGGAUUGGGUUCCUUUGUGAAGGCCGGAACCGUACCAAACUGCAGCUUCCCCCCGCUGAUCGAAAAUGAUCCAAUUUCACGAGAACGCGGAAAAAAGAUGUGGAUGGAGGUCUCCGUUAGUGUUUGGGAGGUUGCGGUUACAAAGGAAGACAAACAUGUCAGCAACUUGAAAAAUACAAGGGGAUCUACUCAAAACUAAGUUCGCUCGUGGCUUGCCCCCCACCAAGGGUUUUGUCAGACAUUUCCACUGAGCAUCCUUGUUUUGAGGCGAGCGUCUACCCUCUGCUUGGUCAAAGGCAAGAAUGAGACUAUCUUUUCAGGUUAAUAUGGCGGGCGUCAGCAACAGGGAGGAAUCCUGCUAAACGAGUUAUAGAAGACCUCAACCGACUCACUUUGUAGGCACCGCCACACUUCAGGCACAACCGAUAGACUGCAUUGGAAUGUAGCGGUCAGUCACCAGACCUCUCGGGAGUGUAGGGGAGCAUGUGC
rnacentral:lncRNA from 1 species